AGGUGGUGGGUUUUUCCUCCCUCUGUAGACAUGGUGGAGGUGGAGGAUGGGCAGCUUUGUGUGUUGUGGGGUUUAAUCUCUUUUCUGUAAAUAUUUUCACAAGUUAGAUUUCAGGAUGGUGCUGACUAAAGUCAUAACCACUUUAUCGAGAUUUAACGUAGUUUUAAUCGGGUCAAAAUUUACAAAUAUUAAUUGAAUCUAAAGGGUCACCGUUUUCAGUCUGGAUUUGUAAACCAAACCUCUUAAGUUUUAGGUCAACUAACGUCGAUUUAUUUUUUUUAAAUUCAGCUGCUUACAAUCUAUAAGAUAACUGUUUUAAAACAAUGUCAGAAAGUUGGUUACUUGUUACUUUCUUUUUUAUUGCAAUAACGAACUUUGUAGUUGAAAGUACAUUCACAGUAAGUCAAAGGAGAAGUUUAGUUUGGGGACCGGGAUUGGAGGCAAACAUAGUUCUUCCAGCUCGAUAUUUCUAUAUUCAGGCAGUAACAGAGGACAAUGUCAACUUUACUUCUUCACCAGGUGAAAAUACAUUUGCAGUACAUAUUUAUUCACCUGGCGAACAAUUCACUAGGAUUUGGACACAAGUGUUGGACCUGAAAGAUGGAUCGUUUCUUGUCAGAUACCGAAUGUAUUCAAGCUACAGAGGUUUGGUAAUUGAGGUUAAGUUCCAAGAUGAACAUGUUGCUCAGUCACCAUAUGUUUUAAAAGGUCAUGUGUACCAUGAAUCAUGUGACUGUCCACAAGAAGAUGGAACCAGGUGGUACAAGGACAUGCACUGUCCACACUCUUUUUCACAGAUAGAACGAGAUUUGGCCAAUUUUCCUUUUGUAGAUCCAGACAGAAUUUCCACAGAAAUUGAGAAAAGAUUUGGACAAAGGCAAAGUCUGUGCCAUUACACGAUAAAAGACAAUAAGGUUUAUGUAAAAACAUUCGGAGAACAUGUUGGCUUCCGAAUAUUCAUGGAUUCUAUUUUGCUGUCUCUGACCCGAAAGGUAAAAAUGCAAGAUGUAGAGUUCUUUGUAAAUCUUGGAGACUGGCCUUUAGAAAAGAGAAAAACUACCGAGAAGCUUCACCCUAUUUUUUCCUGGUGUGGGUCAGAUAACACAAGAGAUAUUGUAAUGCCAACAUACGACAUUACUGAUUCGGUUCUAGAAACUAUGGGACGAGUAAGUCUGGAUAUGAUGUCUGUUCAGGCCAACACUGGCCCUUCUUGGGAAAACAAAAAUUGUACAGCAUUUUGGAGAGGACGUGACAGCCGAAAGGAGCGUCUAGAGCUUGUAAAACUCAGUAUCAAACAUCCUGAUUUGAUUGACGCUGCAUUUACAAACUUUUUCUUUUUCCCUCAUAAUGAAAGUAUUUAUGGUCCAAUUGUAAAACAUGUCUCAUUUUUUGAUUUUUUCCAGUACAAGUAUCAAAUCAACAUUGAUGGCACUGUGGCAGCAUAUAGGAUGCCUUAUUUGCUCGCAGGUGCCGGUCUUAUCCUAAAGCAAGAUUCAGUCUACUAUGAACAUUUCUACAAUGACCUGCAACCAUGGGAGCAUUAUAUUCCGUUUAAGAAUGAUUUAAGUGAUCUUUUGGAUAAAAUUCUGUGGGCAAAAUCUCAUGAUGAAGAGGCCAAGAUGAUUGCAAAAGCUGGGCAGAACUAUGCUAGAAACAAACUUAUGGCAGAUCACAUCUUCUGCUACUAUUAUAAACUUUUCCAGGAGUAUGCUGAUCUUCAGGUGAGUGAACCAAAGAUAAGAGAUGGUAUGGAACCAGUGGACCAGCCAAAAGAUGACCUUUUCCCUUGUGUAUGUCAAAGAACAAAGACAUAAAGACCAAAACCGCCCACAGUAUUGAAAGUGAGAGAUAAUGGGAACUGCAGAUGCUGGAGAAUCCAAGAUAACAAAGUGUGAAGCUGGAUGAACACAGCAGUAAAGGGAGCAGCUAAAUAGGCGAAAGAUGAACUUUGACACCCUGUAAAGAAGAACUUGAGACCCCACAGCUGAAGGACCAUGGAACAAUAUGGUGAUGUAGAUGUCAGUUUCCAGUUUAAACUGCAUAAAGAUACUGCAAUUCUGGAAUGCUUACAAGAUCUUAUGGGGGCUGCUGUGAAAACACCGUACAAUUGAAGGGAGAUGCCUUAUUGACUGUAACUCAGCUGAUUUAUUUUUUAUUAAUACAUCAUGUAAAAUUUUUAAUUUUAAAAAUUGCUCUAUUUCAAUGUUCAUUAGAUGUUGAUUGAAUGAAUAGAUAUGCACUAUGCCAAAACUAGUUCAUGGAUAUGAAAUAAGAAGCUAUGCUUAUUUUGUGGAACAACUUUAGGGCAAUAUUUUCCCAUUUUCCUUUCAAAAACUCUAUAAUAACAACCUGGACCUGUUCACCAUGUAUCUAUAAAUUUAAAGUAAACAGCUGGAUUGAUAUAAGACAUUGGGAUAGCAAUUAGCCUCACUACAAGUAAAUCAUGAUUAAAUGGGGCAUGUGUUUGUGUAUGCAGCUGGGUACAUUAUGUCUUUGGAAUGAACAUUUUAAAUUUAUUCUGAAAAACUGAUUUUAAACAGGAUCGAAGAGAGAAUAAUGUAACAGUUGGUGCUAUUUAUAGUCAUGAGCAAUCAAAUUGUCGACUUUUAUCAUUUUCAGUAUAUUUUCAAAAUGUUUGAUGUGAGCAUUUAUCUAUUUUUCAAUCCUUUUAAAUUCAACUUUUUUUAAUUUCUUGUACUACCAAAUAUUACCUCACUACACUGUACAGUUAUGUCUAGGAAUUCAUCAUGAACUGUUUUCAAUAUAAAUUGACUUGUAUGUUUAAUAUUAAUAUAGAAAGCCUAAAUUUGAGUUAAUUACCAAAACUCAUUAUAAUGUGCUACCUUUUCAGAAUGUCUCUGCAAAAGUUGAUUUUAAAAUGAUUAUAAUCCAGCAUUAAUUAUAGUGUAUAUAUUGUGAUUUGAAGAUGGUGCAGAUUGUGUUGAGGAAGUUUUUAGUAUCAUUUUAAAAAAGAACCAAAAUGGUCUAGUUCAUCAUCAAGAAUUAGAAGGAGACUCAUUAACAGAAGAAAUUGAAAGUUGUCACAGGGAUAUCCUCUGAUCAGCUUUGGUUGUCUGGAAUUGUUGAAUAGAUUACUGUCAAAUGGAACUACAAGUGCGGUAGCAAAACUACCCUAGAUUAUGCAUGCUGCUUAAAUAUCAAUAAUGAGAUAUUCACAAUUUUCAAGUACUAGCAAUGCUGUAAUACACAUUUAUAGUAUUAACACUUUUUAUAGCUUAUGUUGCAUCACAAGAGACACUAAUUAUAUUUUUAAUAUGUUUAUGAAAUUUUAUAGGCUUUUAUAACUAAUACAAAGAAAUGUUUUGGGGACAGGUGGUUUAUUCUUUUUAUUGGAUUGCAAUUUAAUUUUAUAGAAGGAUAGUCUGGUGUUUUUUUAAAUAAUCUUAUAGAAGGAUAGUCUGGUGUUUUUUUAAAUAAUCGUUUUAUACAUAUGCAUUUUCA